GAAUGACUCUCGGCAACGGAUAUCUCGGCUCACGCAUCGAUGAAGAACGUAGCAAAAUGCGAUACUUGGUGUGAAUUGCAGAAUCCCGUGAACCAUCGAGUUUUUGAACGCAAGUUGCGCCCGAAGCCAUCUGGUUGAGGGCACGCCUGCCUGGGUGUCACG
rnacentral:rRNA from 1 species